UGCAAGUGUGGAAUUAGGCUGAGAUGCAAAAGUCGGUGGUUGGAGGCAUCUCACAAGACUACGAUUACAUCCAUACAAAUUCCUAGAUAUGCUUUUGGAAAGCAGUGCUCACAAGUGUGCAUUUUAGUGCCAAUGUUCAUAGUGAGGGAGAGGAUUUCCCCAGUGCCUAUCUGAACAAAUCAGACAGAAUUGGGACCCACAUAAGCCUGAUUCCCACAAGCCAAAAUGUCAGAAUCUUCAUUUCUACUCACUACUGUACCCUCCUGCUAAAAGGACCCACGGAAAGAAAUAGUGGUGAAUUCAGUGGAGAGCUUGUCUGGUUUAUAGUAUUUGAGAUCCUGUCUUAAAAGGUACACACAUAAGGACACCUUGUCUGUAAACUCUCAGCAGUUCAAAGAGAGGAGAAUCACACAAAGCAUAGCUGUAUACUAGCUCUAAACAAGUCUAGUUAAUCCAGUAGGAAUGGGAGCCUCAUCAUCUGGGGCCUGUGUAAGGCAGCAGCUUCGUUGCAGCAGCCCCUGCUGUGCUGAAGAAAGGAGGUGCUGAGAGAGAGGCAGAGAGGAACUCUGCUGGGGGGAGCAGGAUUGUUUUGCCAAGGUUUGUCUCUGCUGAGACUGGAAGCCAGGCGUGGUGACUUUUGAACUGGUCACAGCCAGGCUGACGAGGCCACACAUACCUGGGCUAGCCUUUGUUGGCCCCUUUUCCUCUAUGGAAAGCAGCUCAGGGAAACCCAGACAGUACCAGUGGCUGCCCCGGUGGCUUCCCUCUGAACCAAGCCCCAUUCACUUUCUAGCUGCCUAAGUCUUGGUUGAGUACAUGCCCUGCCGUUCUUCAGAAGUUAGGCCUCACACAGGACGAAGAGCUGGCCACCCUCUUCUUUACUCUCAGCUAAUGGUAUAAAUGGAUGGUCAGAAUUGAGAUGAAGGGUUUCUAAGAGAGAUAUACAUAAGAAUUGAUCCUUUAAUCUCUGCUGAAGUGAGGGAGUCUCUGGUUUCUAGGGCAGCUAGACCCUAUUUCAAAACAAAAAGUUGGCAUUUGUGAUCAGCUGUGAGAAACUACUCAGGUAGAAGCCUGUUUGUGAGCUUAGGAAUACUAUUGUUUGUGAAACUGGAGAAAACUGGAAAGUGUGCCAUUGUUUUGAGAUAACAACAGCAAUGUUACCUUGCUUUUAAAGAUAACAGGCCUUUGCUUCGUGCAAUACCCAAGCAACACUAUCAAAAUUCAUGCUUUGAAGCUGCCCAUCUGACCUUAGCCAUGGCAGCCCUGGAGGCAGAGUUUAGAAAUCAUGUGUUCUCUCCCUCUAGUGUUUUAUGAGUAAAAUGUUAGUUAUGCCAUGGAGGGAUUCUCCUGGGAGUCUCAUUCACACAUGAUGCCUGCUUCAAGUUUUUGUGGUGCUGGAUAGCUGAUCUGGGUUUCUUGGGAAGUCAGCAGAUGAAUUGUUCUGCAGGGGUUUGGGGAAGUUUUAUGGAGUGGGUGGACUGUGGUAUGGAAAGAGUUGUGGGGGGAGACAUGGAGUAUUGAGACUUCUGGUUCCGAAUCCCAUAGGGAGUGGCCAGUGGGAGACAUAGUGCCAUGUCUCCAGUUCCACGGUGACUUCACGCCAGUGUUAAUUGCCCCCUUCCCAAAUUGUCACCCUCUGUCUUUAUCCAAUAAUGUUCUCAUGCCGUCCUUGGUGCUUCACGUUACCCUGGAAAGAGAGCUCCAGAGCUUGCAUUUAAACUUCUGGGCAUCUCUGCUUCAAUGCCUUUCUAACCAGUGGCUCUUUUUCGUGUGCGGAAACAUAAACCAGUGCACAUCCCACAUACUGCCAAGAAGUGAAAGGGCUUCAUAAGGAAGAUGGGCACCAGGGAGGACCCUGGGCUUCCUCCUCGGACAUGAGCUUGCCACCUGGUCAUAUGCUCUGAAGGUUUCUUCUGUGACUGAGACUAGUAAACAUUUUAUUCCCUGCAGAGAUGAGCUGUCUGGCAUGGGGGUGACUUCAGUAGACAGGAGAGCCGACAUGAUGGCUUUAGCUCGUUCUCACUUGCCGUUUUCCAUCACUGAGGCAUUCACAGAGACAGUUACUUUAAAAGGCUGAAACACUUGGCUUUUACCAAAGAGGUGUAUCUGAUUUUGUUUUAGUUGGGCAAGGGCAGAACUGGAAUGCAUUUGCCCAAUUGACUUCAAGAAGUUUAACUACAUUCAUGUGAGGAAAAUGAUAGAAGUCUUUAAGGUAAUUCUUUAGGAUCCUGGGAAAUUCUCUCAGGUAAAGAAAGAUUACAGCAGAUGAGUAAUAUAUGUCUUGAGAGCUAUUUAUAAAAAUUGUAAGAGGAUCAUUUUGUUUCCAUUUAUUAAAAAGUUAAACUUUUUUACUUUGCAAAGAAAAUACUACAAACAUUUUUAUAGUCAUAACUGUUAAUUUUUUUAAAAAGACUUUUUUUUUUGGAAACAAUUAGCUGUAGCCAAAUUUUGUGGUUACAUUUUUGCUAUAGUGGAGUUUGAAUGCAAUCUGUGUGGUAAGUCUACUGUUUGUUUAUAAAGGUCUCUGACAUGGUUAGAUUUUGCUACCUUUUAAAAUAGUUAUUUUUCCCCAUUAGCCACAAAGCCAAUUAUGGAUUUGUAUUUGUGUUUUUCAAUGCUAAUUUUUCUAUGAAGCACCUGAAAUUGACUAGCCUUUUCCUAUGUAGAAAACUCAAACAUGUUAACUCUGUACUUUAAUAAAAUGUAAACUU
rnacentral:lncRNA from 1 species